rnacentral:rRNA from 1 species
UACGUAGGGUGCGAGCGUUGUCCGGAUUUAUUGGGCGUAAAGGGCUCGUAGGCGGUUUGUCGCGUCGGGAGUGAAAACACCGGGCUUAACUCGGUGCUUGCUUUCGAUACGGGCAGACUAGAGGCAUGCAGGGGAGAACGGAAUUCCUGGUGUAGCGGUGAAAUGCGCAGAUAUCAGGAGGAACACCGGUGGCGAAGGCGGUUCUCUGGGCAUGUCCUGACGCUGAGGAGCGAAAGUGUGGGGAGCGAACAGG